rnacentral:rRNA from 1 species
ACUCCUACGGGAGGCAGCAGUAGGGAAUCUUCCACAAUGGACGAAAGUCUGAUGGAGCAACGCCGCGUGAACGAUGAAGGCUUUCGGGUCGUAAAGUUCUGUUGUAAGGGAAGAACAAGUGCCGCAGGCAAUGGCGGCACCUUGACGGUACCUUGCGAGAAAGCCACGGCUAACUACGUGCCAGCAGCCGCGGUAAUACGUAGGUGGCAAGCGUUGUCCGGAAUUAUUGGGCGUAAAGCGCGCGCAGGCGGCCUCUUAAGUCUGAUGUGAAAGCCCCCGGCUCAACCAGGGAGGGCCAUUGGAAACUGGGAGGCUUGAGUAUAGGAGAGAAGAGUGGAAUUCCACGUGUAGCGGUGAAAUGCGUAGAGAUGUGGAGGAACACCAGUGGCGAAGGCGACUCUUUGGCCUAUAACUGACGCUGAGGCGCGAAAGCGUGGGGAGCAAACAGGAUUAGAUACCCUGGUAGGAUAGCG